CCUACGGGAGGCAGCAGUGGGGAAUCUUGCGCAAUGGGCGAAAGCCUGACGCAGCCAUGCCGCGUGAAUGAUGAAGGUCUUAGGAUUGUAAAAUUCUUUCACCGGGGACGAUAACGACGGUACCCGGAGAAGAAGCCCCGGCUAACUUCGUGCCAGCAGCCGCGGUAAUACGAAGGGGGCUAGCGUUGCUCGGAAUUACUGGGCGUAAAGGGAGCGUAGGCGGAUAGUUUAGUCAGAGGUGAAAGCCCAGGGCUCAACCUUGGAAUUGCCCUUGAUACUGGCUAUCUUGAGUACGGAAGAGGUAUGUGGAACUCCGAGUGUAGAGGUGAAAUUCGUAGAUAUUCGGAAGAACACCAGUGGCGAAGGCGACAUACUGGUCCGUUACUGACGCUGAGGCUCGAAAGCGUGGGGAGCAAACAGGAUUAGAUACCCUGGUAGUCCACGCUGUAAACGAUGAGUGCUAGUUGUCGGCAUGCAUGCAUGUCGGUGACGCAGCUAACGCAUUAAGCACUCCGCCUGGGGAGUACGGUCGCAAGAUUAAAACUCAAAGGAAUUGACGG
rnacentral:rRNA from 1 species